rnacentral:lncRNA from 1 species
AGAGUGCAACGGAAAGAAAAGGAGGAGUUGCAUGGGAUGGUGGCCAAGUUCUCAUUGUGACCCAGGGACCAUUACAGUAAAAGGAACCUGCCUAGGGAACUUGCUCAGCUCUCUCUAAACACAGUCAGCUCCAUGUUCCCAACUGAAUGUCACGUCAAUGCGUCGAUGUUAAUUCCGGUAAACUGAAUCCACCCGAGAAUCUUGUUGUGGAAGCAAAAUCGGCUUAAAAGGCUUCUUUGAUGCACAGGGAAUUCUCACAAGCAAUAAAUUAAAAAUAAUCAACGAGUUAUUUUAUAUAAUCUGUAUAUAAUAUAAAGUAAUUGUGUCCAUAAAUAACGAGGCAGUUAAACAGGAAAAGAAAGGAUUUUUACCUGACGUUCACAUCGCUUCACAAGGUUUAGUGGAUUCAGAAGGACAUCUGGACUCCAGGAAAAUUUAAGCGUAGCAUUUUGAGACUUCCCUAAGGCCCCCUUCUCUAGUACGCAAUCGCGGAUUCACCAGCUUGAGUCAGUUGGCCUCAGUUUUGCUUUUGGAGGUUUAAGUCGGGUGGUGGGAAGAGAUACAUUUCCAUUCCUGAUAUGGCCACAAGAGGGAGCUCCCAAUGGUCGGCUGCACCUGAAAGUCCUGUCCGUGAAAACUGACAAAGAAAACUUGAUUUAAAAGGCGUCUUCUGAUAAACCUCAGCAUCUCCUUACUAACAUACUAAGAGCAAUCACUGAACACUUUUCGUAUGUUCAAUGCGUCCUCGCGGGAUCUGAGAAGCAUUGUCCUAUUAAAUCUCAGUCGUCUGAUUUUCAGCAUCAAUUUAUCUUGGGAGCUGCUCCUGCAUUUUAUAAGGUGAAUUCUACAGCAACGAGAUUAAAGAUUCAGAAAGUCUUAUUGGCUGUGCAAACUUGAGGGAGUUGCCUAACCACUCUGGGCCCUGUUUUCCUGGCUUUGCCACUCUUCAGCUGUGUGACCCGGGGAAGCUCUCAACCUCUUUGUGCCUCCAUUUCCACAUCUGUAAAAUGGGGAUAUGAAAGUGGCUGCUUUGUGAAGAGUCCUGAGAAUAAAUGAGUUAAGGAAAACUGAUAUGGAUAAAUAUGGAAGAGAGCUGGCCAGUGGAUGAAAUGGUGAUGUAAAGGUUAAGAGAAAUAAAAGCAGGAGACGAGGAGAGAGUCACACCACGGUGAGCAGAGAGUUGAGCUGGGGCCCGGGACAAGCAUCAAAAGUGUCACUUCCUCUGAGGUCCCAACCCUACUUCCAUAGGCUCUGCAGCCCACACCACCUUGGAACCAAACAGGGAGGUGGCAGAACUGAUGGGCUGGCCGCACCACCUUAAAUCUCUUAGCUCCAAAACUGGAGGUGCUCAUCAGGACCCUGCAUCAUUUCUGUGGGUGAUGGAUGGUGUGAGGUAAGGCACAGAGAUCUAGACUUAUUUCUCCUUCCACAACAAUUGUUUCUUGGAAGAGGAAGAAAACUUAGCUGGAUUUUAUCUCUUUGUGUGGAUUUCUGGGGUAGACACCCAGAGGUGUGUGCAGGAGCAUGCUCUUUGGGGCCCACAUAGAGAUUCCAGCAGGUGCUGGAGAUUCUGGGGUAGCCUUUCCAUGACUGCUGGCCUCUUUUCCCCUGUGUUGCUUUGGUUUGCUGUCUGGCUAAAGGCAGGAGUGGGAGAAACUCACAUUCCACAAGAGGCUGCCUGGAGCAGAGGCCAAGAGGGUAAGGUUUGUCCAAGGCCUUCCAUCUCAGCUUUGCUGCCAAUUUGUCAGAAAAAAAAUCAUUUGUGCCAAUUAGACCCUGGUUAGGAAAGUGUUGUCCUGUCUGGGAAGCAGGUACAGAAACCAGUUGCAAGGACAGGAGAUCAAUGAAAGUGACACAUUACUUAUGCCUCCAAUUCUUCUCAGCCCUCAAUUUAGUCUCUGAGACACAGAGAAAAUAAGUGUACUUGCCUUGCUAAUGGGUACAUGGUUGGCUUUGGGCAAUUUAUAUAGAGCACUUUAGUUCCAAGAUGAAAUGCACUGAGAUAUUAGGAUUAGUCUCUGCUUUAAUGAGUUUCUGACUUGCAGGUUUGAAAAAAUUUAGUUCUUUUCUGUAUUUCUCUACAAACACAAAACAAUGAUUUAAUGGUAAAACAACAAUGAAAAGAAACUAGGCCAUUCUCUCCAAAAUGAUUAAAAGGGUACUUCUCCUGACCUGACAUAACCUUUCCUCAUAUGAAUUUAUUAUCUGUAUUCACACUCAUAUUCCACUGGAAUGCCUUGGGUCCAGGUGGAUGGUUGCUUAUGGUUAGUAUCGAUUCUGAGCAGGUAGGCAUUCAUACUGUUUGGUUGACGCCUGUGGUGAACAGACCUUAAGGUGACUUCUUGCACCCCUGAGUCAUUUUCUUGUAUAAUCUCCUCUCUUUGAGGACACAAACUGUGCCCUGCUUCAAACCAGUGGAAUAGAGACAAGGUGAUGAGAUCUUUGGUUAUUGCACCUAACUGCUUCAUUCAUUGCACAAUUAGUCACACGCUGUUUUGUGAUGCAGAACAUUUUUUUUUAAGAGAUGGUAGUCUCACUCUGACACCCAGGUUGGAGUGCAGUGACA